UACGUAGGGGGCGAGCGUUGUCCGGAUUUAUUGGGCGUAAAGAGCGUGUAGGCGGCCAGGUAGGUCUGCUGUGAAAACUCGAGGCUCAACCUCGAGACGUCGGCGGAAACCAUCUGGCUAGAGUCCGGAAGAGGAGAGUGGAAUUCCUGGUGUAGCGGUGAAAUGCGCAGAUAUCAGGAAGAACACCCGUGGCGAAGGCGGUCUCU
rnacentral:rRNA from 1 species